rnacentral:rRNA from 1 species
AGAGUUUGAUCAGUGGCUCGAGGACGAACGCUGGCGGCGUGCUUAACACAUGCAAGUCGAACGGGCACUUCGGUGCUAGUGGCGAACGGGUGAGUAAAGCGCAGGUAAUCUGCCGCAAAGUCGGGGACAACGUUGCGAAAGUGACGCUAAUACCGGAUGUUGUGCGGAGUUCGCAUGGAUUCUGUACUAAAGAUUUAUCGCUUUGCGAGGAGCCUGCGUCCGAUUAGCUAGUUGGUGGGGUAAGAGCCUACCAAGGCGACGAUCGGUAGCCGGUCUGAGAGGAUGAACGGUCACAAUGGAACUGAGACACGGUCCAUACUCC